rnacentral:piRNA from 1 species
UUGGAAAUGUAAAUGAGG